UGACAAUGUACCUUUUUAAUUCCUCUUCAGAGCUCAUUGAGUUACUGUGCGAGAGACUCUGGAGCCAAAGCAGACAGAGAGGGUAAAAACAAACGAAAAGAAGAAACUUGUCUUGGUUCUUCAUCAUAGCAGGCAUGCAGGCAGGAAUUGGAGCAUCUCCAUGUAGCAGCGCAGUAGGCCCAGCGUGUAGGCGCUGGAGUGGACCUCUCUGACGGCGUCUUCGUAGCUGAAGGGGUCGACGAUAUACACCACAAUGGCAGGCGGGUAAGACACAGCGUGGGAUUCUCCGUCUGUUGGCUUCCCCACUUUGUCUCUCUCCAUUGUGCUGUUGAUAUAAAAAAAUAGAUAUAUUUAUAUAAAAGGCACAAAAUGAUUAAGAUAUCAGUCCUAAAGAAA